rnacentral:lncRNA from 1 species
AUUACGCGUACCGGUGGUUCCACAGGGUUUUUGGAACUCCGUGUAAUCUCCAUUGUAACGGAUAAAUUCCACUGAAGCUUCAAGAAAAUACGCUCAUAUUUAUGAUAGUUUUGGAGGUGAAGGAGAAGGAAAAAGCCUUGACAGGAUUAUAAAGGUUUGCGUUCGACUUCAAAUUGACCAAAGUACCCUUGACCUUGAUUUUCUUGGAUUGAAGAUUCUUUUAAAAUCUUCUAUAGGAGGUUUUCCUUGAAAAUUACUUUCCUAAUCCUUAUCUUGAGGAUUUUGCGAACAGUAAUUAGUCUGGAUGAUUUUAGAGGGUAUUUUAGGUAAUAAAGAGAUAUUCAAAAUCGAAUUUACUUUUGUAUGUAAAAAUAAAAAUAACAAGAAGGAAAACGAAAAGAGAAAUAUUUAAUUGAUAAAGCCAGAACAAUCAUAGUGGGAAAUAGAUCAGUGGUGCAGAGGUUGGAAGCAACAAUGGGCAUUCUUGUCACCAGUGAGGGUGAUAAUCCUGCUUAUGUGAGCUUCAAUCAGAUAACAUGUCAUCUCAGUAUUAUGUAAUAAAACUAGUUCUAUGCUCAUGCAAUGCAUGAGAGGCAUAUUUUUUUAAGGCAGUGUUAGCGUGUUUAGUGUUACCAGAAAUCCUUGACAUCUCAUUAAUAUUGGUGGGGCAAAAUACUUUUAUAUUUUGAUUUUUGCUACUAUUAGGGAGUAGAAAUAAUUCUCAAGGAUAGUAAAAUAAUUUUAUAUAUUAUUUGCAAGUAAAAGUAGUGCUCGGUGGCACUCUAUCGAGUAUCUACAUUCUGAAGGAGAAAAAAGAUAACAAAAUACUCAAAGCAACCUUUAUUCCUAUCUCCAAAACAUUAUGACCGUUUUAUUGUCAAAAAAGAAACGGAUGUUUUUCCCUUGUUUUCGAAGGAGAACGAUAAUAAGAUGUUGGGCUCAUAUUUAUUUCCUUACUUCUUUUUAUUUAUUUUUAUUUAUUAUUUGUUCUCUUCGAGUCUGGUUCUGAAUGCCAUGUAAGAUCAUCUUCAACCAACAUAUGAGAAGGCAAGUCAUCCUAGCUCAAUGCUUUUAUGCUACAACAUCGGGUUAAAAUGUUCGGAGCAAAAUGGGAAACCAUAAAACACAGUAACGAAUAUUCAAUGAACUUAUUAACUCAGAUCAAAGUUACUAAAAAUAUAAAAUUAUGUACACAGAAACAAGAAAAGAAAAAAAGAAAGAGUUCAAAAUACACAAGAUUUGAAGCUGAAAUCAUCAGAAAUCAACAAAUGAAGAAAUUGUUUCUCAAAAGGAAGAAAACAUGAACUCAAGAAAAAGAUAAUCCUAAAAGAAGCAACCAAGAGGUCAACAUACCGAUUACCGUGAUAUGCCCUGAAUCAUUCAUGACAAUAGCAUCGACCAUUGUUGAUGUAGUUUUACGAUGCUUAGUUUAUUAUGAUGAUACCAAAUCCGUAGGAAGGCCUCGAAAAAAUUGUUUGCCUUGGAUUUGGAACUCAUUGUGAGGGUUUCUUGUUGUAUUGAAAAUCCAAUUUUCCUGUAGUGUCGAUUGCAUGUUUGAGGAAGUAAAUUCGAUGAAAUCACAGAUUUAGUUUUUUCAAACUCUUCACGAAACAUGAAAUUUUAACCACGUCUUUCAGAAAACAUUCUAAGAAAAUGAUUACAAAUAAGUUGGUAUUGGUUCUGUCGAGACAGGACCAUCGAGUCAUAGUACAAUAGUAACAUACACAAUAUGAACAUGGUCGAUUGCAAUCAAGUUGUCCCAAUAAUAACUAUGCCCCAUUUCCAAGACUAAUUCACAUGGUCGGCCGCAAUCCAUUUAUGUAAUUAUGCGAACAUUUCACACAAUAAAUUAGGAAUAUUGGUAUGAACUUGAAACCAUAAAGUCAUAUUGCAUUAUCAUAAUAAUUGAUAUUUGAUAGGUACUGUCGGUCCAGAAGGGUUUCAAAAUGAAUAUUUCAAUUAUACGGGUGAAGUGAACAAGUAACUAUCAUGUAUUGCCAAAAAUCAUCAAACAAUUGGCAAGUUACAUUUUUAAACUUCAACCUUCUAUGGGAAGAAUUUAUAAAUGGUUGAUGUCGAUGACAAAAAAUGAUGUGGUACUUUUAGAUCAAUUUAGAGGAUUUUUUAAAAAAUCAUCAUGUUAUUAUUUUUGGAAUAUUAGUAUAAUAUAAGGGCAUAAUUUUCAAGAACUUGAAUACAAGUGGUAUAGAGAGAUUUUUAAUAGUUCAGUCCUUCUUUUUUGGACCUUUGCCCCUUUAUAUAGCCCUUUAAAUUGGAGCUUGUCGACUUGCCGCUAUAAUCAUAACAAGCUACAAUGUCUGAUCGAGUACGUGCGACAUCAUCCUGUUUAGAAAGAUUUGAUUGGUUGAAGAUUUCGAUUGCAAUGUGGUCAUCAAGAUACCUUGGGUGUUGCCCCAUACAUUAUAUAAUUAUGAAUUUUCUUUGAUCGAUUUUUGCGGUGGCGUUGCUACCCAAGGGGAACACCUUUUCAAUCAUGUCAUAAUUAUGUUUUCAAAUGACAUCUCUUAUGUGCCGACCUCUACGAGAGGAAUCUUGGGUUGACCUUUCGUGUUGUCAUAUUUGACUUUGAUGAAAAGGAUCAUUCGAUCAAUGUGGGCUCCCAAGUUAUCCGACGUGUAUUAUUGGUAACCAUCAGCUAAUUAAAUAUAGAUAGAAAUGAAUAAUGGAUAAAAGUUGGUAGUCCUUGGGAAGUCUACUAAAAGGUGUAAUUAAAAAUAAAGUUUGACUAUUUAUAAUAAUUUAUAUUAAUUCUUCCUAAACCUCACUUGAACAAAUAAAGCAACAUGAAUUCUCGAAAUAUCACAGAUCACCCAAAUAAAAAUGAAAAUUUCACUUUCAACAAACAAUCUUGCGGUUUGAUCCAUGAUUGGUUGGAAAAGUAUAGGUGGCCGUACUAUAAACAAGGAGGUUCAAUCAAGUGUGCUUCAUUUGAUUUGGCGCACAUAACAUCAUAUUAUUGUGGAGCAUAAGGAAAGAUUCAAUACCUUAGUGUUUUCACAAGGGCCAUGGAAGUUUAACGAAUAUAUCAUUGUAUUAGUUAGCCAAAUUUGGCCUCCAUUUCACCGAACUUCAAAUUUAGCCCUUGUUUGACUUCCAUUAUUUUGGAAAAAUACAUUUUUCAACAGUGUUUUGAUAUUAUUUCAACAAUACAUUCUUUAAUAAAAUAAUAUUAUACGUAAAUUCAAAAUUUUUCUUUAUUUUUUAACUACACAUUCCCAUCAAUAGACUAUUCAAAAAUUCACUCUUCCCAAAAAAGGGGCUCAAACAAGGGCUUAAUCACACAUUUCAUGAAAUCUAUAAUUUUAUCAACUUUUCAACUACACAUUUACCAAUUUAAAAAAAAGUAAAACCAAUUCUACUAAAAAUCUAAUUUUUAUCCAAACCAAGUACGGGACUAGACUUGAGCAUUUGGUAAACACAUAAUUUCAACCACUAUUCUUUCUGGGUUAAAGUAUGCAAUGUUCCUCUAAUUCUCGAUAGUGAGGUUCAUGCAAGACAUUAGGAUGAGACGAUCAUGGCAGUGUAUUCGUAUUCAGGUAAGAUUAGAUAUAACCAGAUGUUUAAUACAUGGCAUUAGAAUUUUGUUGAAGCUUUACAAACUAAAAUUAAUCUUUUAAUUCUAUGAAAGAUUUCGAGCAUUGUGUUUUGCUUUUGGCUUAAAACAUGUAAAAUAACAUAAGUGAUUUUAAAGUAUUCUAACUGUUUCCCACUUGACCCUGAAAUAUAUUUUCGAGCUGCUACUGAAUUUAUGGAAAUCUAUUACAUAUGUCGCUUUGUCACUUGCUUAUUGAAACGUUAAUGAAUUUGAUGAUGUGACCUACAAAAUUUCACAUGUGACAUGAGUUAGAUGUUAGUCGUCACGUCGCCAAAAUCCCAAAUGAUAAGCUUAAGAUCUAUUUUGUUAAUAAAAAAAAUGAAGAAAACAAAUUCUGAACUUAACAGACAAUAGCCAUCUUCACAAACCUCAAACCCCCAAAUUAUGAACUAGGGUUAUUCGUCCUUCAAUUGAAUUUGAGUAACGGAAAUUGUACUCCCAAUUCAACCCAAAUAUGGGUGAUCCAAUGUGGCACAAUCUUUUGGGACAUUUAAAUGAUAGCACCACACUCGUUUUCAAAACUCAAGAGCUAAAUUGGCUAAAUGUAAGGAUCAUAAUUAUUAUGGAUAACUCGUAUGGCCCAUGAUCUUUUAAACAAAUGAAUAACAAAAUGAUUGCAGUCUUUAACAAAAAUUAAAUACUAUGGGUCUUCAAUUGUAGGACUUACUAAAUUAUAGGCUUUAACUAUUUAAAAAUUAAUUAAAAUUACAUAGAUUUUUCAAAACGAUAUUCAUUUCUAUAAGUAAUUUUGUUUUAUACACCUUUUCAUAGCAAUGCCCGUCUUAAUUUUUCACAAAAAAAAAUUCGUCUACCGUCUCACAUUUCCCAUUUAUAUUCCAUAAUAAUUUAGGAUCUGUUUGGUAGGGAUUAUGACAAUUGAUUUUUUGAUAGUUAGAAAGAGAAGUCGGUCCCACCUAUAAGUGAAGAAAUAAAAAAUGACUGCUAAAAUAGUCAAAUAAACAAACGGAAUUUACCCAAUUGUAGUAAAUACUGCCUCAAAAAUUAAUUAACUACUUGACAUUGUUCAAAAACAACGAUUUCCACCUAUCAUCCUCGAAAUCAAAAUUUUCGUCAUAUUCAUCUUCAAACCCGUAAGACAUCGCAUCAUUUUGAUGACCGAAUGUAACAUCAUCGUCGCCACAAGUGAUCUUCAUUAUGAAGAUUCUUCAUCAUAAUUGCCCUAUUCAAAUCUUUGCAUUUUAGGUGUGGUAAUGUUUUCGUUCUGUGAAUGGUCAUUUCUUCAAGAAUCGAGUUUCAAAUCGAUGUGUGCCAUACCAGAACCUUGUUCCUGAAAUGAUAAUUAACAAAGUUAUGGGAAAUAAUAAAGGGAAAAUUGUAGCAGCGGUACUAAAGCUUUCAUUUAUUAGCAGACUUUGCCCAAAUCUUCAUUUUGUGCCAUCGAAGGUCUCAAACCUUUCAUAAAUAUGCAGCCGAAGUCCAGAUGGAUGGAAUCCAUCCAUUUCACCGUUAGUUGACCAAAGAACUGACUUUGACUCCAAUUUUGACCAUAUUAGUAAGGGCAAAAUAGUAACUUGUAUAUUAUCCCAUUAAUUAAAUAAGUUAAAUAGAUAAACCAUAAAAAAAAUGAAAGAAAGAAAAUGUGGGCAUCAUCUUCUUCUCAACCCCCCCCCCCCCACCCCCCACCCCCACAAUCCAAAUUGCAAAAGUUUUGAAAAUCAAGAUGAUGGUACGUCCAUCUUCAAAAUAAACUUCCUGCAAUUUUCUUGAUUGAUCUCUUGUUUUCAACUUUUUGGUCUUUUUAGGUGAAUACAUUUUUAUUUCCUUCUGUCUAAAAAUAGAACACCCAAAAAAGAAACACCAGAUUUCAAUUUGGAGAAAUUGAUGAGAAGAGUUUGGAUCGAGUGAUCAUGUUACCUGCAAGAAACUUCAGCUUGGUCAUUUUAACUAUCAAGGUUGAGAAUAAUCCCAUUUGUGCUGAGAGGAACCUCGGAUCCAUAUCUUCAUUUCACUAAAAGGGAAAAAAAUUGGAUUUAACAGGAAAAAAUCAGAAUAAAUAAAAGGGGAAAUUGGACAAGAAUCGGGCUUUUGAGUGGGAUGGAGGUGGAGGUGGAAGCGGAAGCGAGAGUAGGGUGUGGUGUUGAGUUGGAGAAAGAAGGUUGGAGUGGGGGAUGGUGGUGGCCGGCACCAUGACGAUGGUCUGUUGCAAUUUAGAUUGGGGAGGGGGGGGAGAGGGGAGGAAGAAGAUGAUGCCCACAUUUUCUUUCUUUCAUUUUUUUUUUUAUUUAUGGUUAUCUAUUUAAUUUAUUUAAUUAAUGGGAUAAUAUGCAAGUUACUAUUUUGCCCUUAUUAAUAUGGUCAAAAUUGGAUUCAAAGUCAAUUCCUUGAUCAAUUAACGGUGAAAUGGAUAGAUUUCAUCCAUCUGGACUUCAGCUGCAUAUUUAUGAAAUGUUUAGGACCUUCGCUGAUACAAAAUGAAGGUUUGGACAAAGUCUGCUAAUAAACGAAAGAUUUAGUACCGAUGUUGCAAUUUUCCCAAUAAUAAAUGCAAAGAAUCCUUUUUCGAGUUACAUGUUUGUAUUACACUUUCUGACCCAAUGAAAAUGAAGCCUAAACAAGAGUAGAAAACACUUACCAUAUCAUCAUUUAGAAGUCUCAAAGCAUCAUAAUUGAUUCAUGUCGACAUCACAUGUAAAAUACAAAACAAAUAUACUCCAGUUCGCUCGUAGGGAUUGAAAUCAUCAUACAACAAGAAUUUAACAAAUAACGAAAGACAAUAAUUUCCCUAUUACUCUUAGCCAUGUCUUGAGCUUUACAUUGUACUGUGGCAAACAGAAAGAGAAAAAAGAAUUCCCAUUGAAGCCUAAUUUAUUACCCGCUGUUCCAAUUUCUCGGUGGUUUUAACAGCUUUCCGAGCAGAGGUAGUUUUCUUUGUUUCAGUUUCUGCUUUUUGUUUUUCUUAACCUGAAAUUUAUCACCAAUUUAGACAGCAGUCAAAUUUAAUCCCAAAUUGAAAAGUUCAAAUCUUACAGGGAGGAAAAAGUAUGAAAAGGAAAGUUGAAACCGGCAAGUCGCAAUAUCAUAAGCUGUCAAUGUUAACAUCAGUAUCGAUAAAAUGUAAGGGCCCUAUCGAUAUUUCAACAUCAGCUAAGAAAUGUUUAAAGACUACUAAAAUGCUUAAAACAGGGUUUCUCAUUACAUUUUGUAUAACAAAUAAUUAUGAGACUUGCCAUCGCUAUACUUAAGUUGCAUGGCAUUGACCAAAAACAUAAACACAGAUAAUGCGAGAUGGAGGGAAGAAAAUAAUAUGGAGUCAUGCACAUUAGUUUCAGGGAGAAUUUUACUCACAUAGUACUGCCAGAUAGUUUGCUGUCUGAAGAAAUCUCGUUUCACUUUCUCUUCAAAUAAUUUAGUUAAGACAAUGGUGCUGCGUUUACUGCCUCAUUGAACAUAAUUUCAUAAGUUGGAAUUUGCUAAAAAUUAAUUCUUUUAAAAAAUUAGUUUUGGAGACAACACAAAAUUCUUCAAGAUACGUAAGCUUUGGAGGUGAAACUAGACAUUUCAAAAACAAAUUCUCCAAUCAAAUCAAUCUGAUCAAAUUUCUUCUUUAAAUGUUAUAAAUAAAUACGUCCAUAUGCCAAACUCAACCAAUAAAUGGGAUGCAUUAAUUUGGGAAAUACCUCAAAUUGACCUAAGUAAAGGAAGAAUCCCAAUAAAUUAAGGAUAUCCUGUGCAAAUAUGACAAAUCCUUUCAUUAAGGGUAUUAUAGACAUUUUACCAAAAAUGAAUAAUAGUAGGCCAUUUAUAAAAAUCUCCCCAUUAAUUUCUAUGGUUUAAAAGAAAUAUUGAUCCCAUAUUGUGACUUAAAGAAGACAAUAUCAUAAUAUCAUCUUAUAGAGACUAUUUUGCACAAUCGGAACUAAUAUUAUAUUUAUUCACAUUUUACAUUCUCCCAUAAUAAUUCAAGGACAUAAAAGAUCAAUUAUCAUGAUGGCAGGACAAAUACGUAUAGUUCAAUAAUUCUAUCGGCUAGCACCUAUGUGAGAGCUAGAAGCCUAGAAUCUAUAGAUUGUAUGUUAAAGUCACAAAAAUACAUAAAGAGAAAGUGAGCAUCCGAAUUAACAUAACACUUCAUCCUAGCCUACUUGUAGAAUAGAAAGAAAGUAAAAUAAUAAACAGACAAAAAGGGGAAGGAAACAGGAAAAAUAUGCCCAUACAGAGGAACAAGGUAAAAGAACACAAACCACACCUUAAUUGAGCUAAGAUUAGAUGAAAUGUAAGAAAACAUUGAGGUGAUGCAAGGCUGGUAAGAUAGUCCAAUAACAUCAAUCAAACCAAUUGUAGACUAGAAAUUCUGCCAAAUUACCCCAAAUGCAAGCAAAUCUUGAAGAGUAUUAGUAAACAAGGCUUUACCUUUACAUGUUCUUUAAUCAUGGCUUCCCAUAACAUCCUUUUCAAAUAAGAUAUCCAACAAUCUGAAGAGCAUAAAAAAUUGCUUAAAUGCUUCCCCAACUCAUGUGUCUAGUGAUAAAUGCUUGAUUCCCUAUCAUAUUCUGAAAUAUGGAUCCUUUUCUUUUUCAGGAUAUGAAAUUCUAAAUGACUUAUCAGCUGGUGAAAAUGUUAGAUAUUAUCAACGAACGAAAAAAUUUCGUUAAAAGAUUUCAGCAGAGUACAGGACUAAAGAAGAAGCAUUAGAAACUUACAGGGUGCAUAGAAGUUUUGAUUAUUCAAACAAAAGUAAAGGUAUUCUAAUGGAAAGCAUGAAAGUAAUUUACCAUCAUAAAAAACACUUGUGAGAACCAUUGCCAGAGUUUAAAUGAUAAUGCAUGUGAAACAACAAUGCAUAUGCCUCAGAAUCAUCAAUAUCGGAAAGACUUUCUGAGCCAUCAGAUUUAUUUCUACUUCUUUUCUUGUACCUUUGUUUUUUACCAGAGUUAGUUCUUUUCUUAGUAACUAAAACUUCUGCAGCUAUCCAUUGUCUUAGCACAAAAGAUUCUGCAUAAGAAAUUUCAUACACAAAACUCAUGAGAACAACAUUAAAGAUUACAGCCAGUGCUCUCAGUUGCAACAUUGCAGGUCACGUAGCAACUCCACUCGACGGGAAGUCUCAACUUCCACCGUCUACAAAACAGAUAAUAUAAAUAAGAAAUGUGAGAUUUACAAUAACUAUGAUCUAUUUUAUAUGGCUUCUAGUUGAAUGAAACCUUACAAGGACUUUAUCAGCAUGAUCUUACACUUUGAUAAAAGAAUAAAGUUCCCAUAAACCAACACCCUGCUGGUGAAGGAAUCAGCUCUUGAUAUCAUAUUUGGAAAAAAAAAAAAAAAAAAAAAGUUUCCAAAAACCCUCUUUUAUUGAAAAAAAUAAUAAUAAAAACACAGGAGAAAAAUUGAAAAAACCAAUGAGACUGAUCUUCAAGCAAAUAAAUAACUCGGGAAUUUUUGCUAAUCAAUUUGGACAAAAACAGUAAAUGACUGCCUAUACACUGAAAUAGUAAUAUCACUGCGUAGAAUAAUCAACGCGUAUACAUUCAUCCAAUCUUAGAAAUAUUUAACAAUUUCAUGAGCUGAAAAUUCAUGAAAAUAUACGAGUUGCAAGGGAGUAAAAGGAAAGAAAGAAAUUACGCGCACAGAUGCUUCAAAGGGUUUUUGGAACUUUGAGUAAUCUUCAUCGAUAGAGAAAUACCGCUGAAGUUUCAAAGUGGAUAUGCGCAGAGUAGUUUUAAGUGGAACCCUUGACCUCAGAAUAUUACCGUUAGCAAUUCAAAAAUUAGCACCGACUCAUUCUUACAUAAAAAAAAAUUUUACCGUUAAAAAACCAAUCUUUGCACCUCUCUUUCCCUCCAAAAACACUCUCUACUGAACUCUUUCCGCAUCGAUCAAAAUUUUCUCUCCCUUUUUCAGCCAUGACGAAGUCUAACAACAAUCUGGAGAAGAAAACAAUGGGUCGGCGGAAGAUUGAAAUUCGGAAAAUUGACAGUAAAAACAGUCUUCAGGUUACCUUCUCAAAGAGGCGAAGCGGUCUUUUCAAAAAGGCAGCGGAAACGAGCCUAUUGUGUGGCGCAAAUAUUGCAAUCCUCAUCCAAUCUCCGGGGAACAAAUUUUUCACUUUUGGCGAACCCUCGGUGGAAUCCAUUCUAAACCGGUACCAAUUUCUUGAUUAUUCAUUUUCUACUGAGUCAAACCCGACUCCCCACAAUCUUUUGGUUGAAGAAAGAAGUGAAAAUAAUGAGGCAACGAGGGGAUUUUGGUGGCUGAACGAAAACAUGGAAACUAUGGAGUUGCAGGAACUUGAAGCAUUUGAAGAGAAAUUGAAAGUUUUGCUUCAAGCAGGGGAGAUGAACCGGUACCAAUUUUUUGAUGAUUCCUUUUCUACUGAGUCAAACCCGACUGCCCACAAUCUUUUGGUUGAAGAAAGAAUUGAAAAUGAUGAGGCAACGAGGGAAUUUUGGUGGCAGAACGAAAACUUGGAAACUAUGGAUCUGCAGGAACUUGAAGCAUUUGAAGAGAAAUUGAACGUUUUGCUUCAAGCAGGGGUGAUGAACCGGUACCAAUUUCUUGAUGAUUCCUUUUCUACUGAGUCAAACCCGACUUCCCACAAUCUUUUGGUUGAAGAAAGAAGUGAAAAUGAUGAGGCAACGAGGGAAUUUGGGUGGGAGAACCAAAACUUGGAAAUUGUGGAUUUGCAGGAACUUGAAGCGUAUGAAGAGGAAUUGAACGCUUUGCUCCAAGCAGGGGAGAUGAAUAAACAAAUUGCUUCAGCUUCUUGUUCGAUGAUUCCGCUUCCACACCUGUAGGGUUUUAACAAAAUUUUUGACGUCGUCUGAUUUUUGAGUUACACGUUACGUAUAUAAACAGACAUGAUUAGGUUUUAAAUUUUUUAAUGUUGUCUAAUGUCAACACAAGUUGGCAACUGUUUCAUUGGAUUGUCUUUUUCGAUGACGAUCGACCCUAUUUUUUGUGGAAAUUUUUAAUUGAUUUAGCAUAAAAUCUUUGUUGUUUCUUGAUUUUCAAUUGAAAAGUUUGCGUAAUUUGUUGUUGCUCUUAUACCUCACAGUUUGCCUAAUGUGCGAUCAGCAAAAAGGAUAUUUUUUUUGUAUAGUUUACGCUUUCUCGGUGAUUACAUAAAUUCAUGGAUUAGCAAGAGGUAUUAAUUUAUAAUAAUUAUCACUCAAUGAAAUUACAUAUAAGCAUACAAAAUUUACCUAAUUGUAGUGAACUUUAUUAAAAUUAAUGUGGCCUCUUAUAGAAACUAGAAAGGUCAUUGGUAUACUAAUCUUGAUUCAGAAAGUGUGCAUGGACUUGUAAGGAUACAAGGUGUACUUCCCAAAUCUUUAGUACCUUACAAUUUUUAAGUUCGAAACUUCUUCAUUUAUAGUCAUUGCUUUGAUACUGGCUGACAAGUUAUCCAAUUUCAAACGAUAGCACCUAGUUGUUGAUGAGAUUUAUAGCAUGCUCAUGACCCUUAACGAGUAUGCAAGCAAUAGCAUGUCGACAGGACAUAAGCACGAAGUCCUUUAUUUACAAUAAGAAUACUGACUGAAUAUUGGAUCAAUUUUAUGGAGAAACACUACAGAACAAAAUUUUAAUUCAAGUGGAGUUGAGGGGUAUUUUUCAAUAAAAAUAUAGUAAGCACUGCCUCAAAAAUUAUUUAACUACUUGACAUUGUUCAAAAACCAUGAUUCCCAACUAUCUCCAAACUAAUCCUCGAAAUCAAAAUUUUCAUUAUAUUCAUCUUCAUACCCGUAAGGCAUCGCAUCAUUAUGAUGACUGUAUAUAAAAUCAUCUUCGCCACAAAUGAUCUGCUGUUGAUCUUCAUCUUCAUCAUAAUUGCCCUCUUCAGAUCUUUGCAUUUUGGAUGUGGUAAUGCUUUAGUUCUGUGAAUAAUCAUUUCUGCAAGAAUCAAGUUUCAAAUCGAUGUUGUGUGCCACACCAGAACAUUGUUCCUGAAAUGAUAAAUAACAAAGUUAUCGGAAACAAGAAAUGCAAAGAAUCCUUAAUCUAGUUACAUGUUGGUUUUACACUUUCCGACCCAAUAAAAAUGAAGCCAAAACAAGAGCAUAAAAUACGUACCAUAUCAUCAUUUAGGAGUCUCAAAGAAUCAGAAUUGAUUCUCGAACUUCUCUUCUGCAAAAAUAGGAUUCAUGUCAUCACAUGUAAAAUACAAUGCAAACAUACACCAGCUUGUAGGGAUUGAAAUUGUCAUACAAGAAGAAUUUAACAAAUGACAAAAGACCAUAAUUUCCCUAUUACCAUCAACAAUAUCUCGAGUUUUUCAUCGUAUUGUAGCAAACAAAUAGCGAACAAACAAAAAACCUAAUUUCUUACCUGUUCCAAUUUCUCGAUGGUUUUAACAGCUUUUCUUGCAGAGGUAGUUUUCUUUGUUUCAGUUGCUGGUUUUUGUUUCUUAACCUGAAAUUUAUCACCAAUUUACACAGCAGUCAAAUUUAACUCCAAUUGAAAAUUUCAAAUCUUACAGUGAGGGAAACGUAGGUAAAGGAAUGUUGAAACCUAAAGACAAGUAGCAAUAUCAUAAGCUGUUCAAUGUUCACAUCAAUAUCGAUAAAAUAUAAGGGCCCUACAUCAGCUAAUAAAUGUUUGAAAGACUACUAAAAUGCUGAAAACAGGUUUUCUUGUAAUGUCGGAUAACAAGUAUUUAUGAGACCUGAAAUCACUAUACUUAAGUUGCAUGGCAGGGGCAGAAAAUGUGAACACGGUGAAAGUGAGGUCGAGGGAAGAAGAUAAAAAGGAGUUAUGCACAGUAGUUUAUGGGAAAAUUUUAUUCACAGUGCUGCCCAUUAGUUCAUUUAUGAAGAAAUCUGGUUUCACUUUCUCUUGAAAUAAUUUAGUUAAGAUAAAGGUGCUCCAAUUACUGCCUCAUUGAACAAAACUUCAUAAGUUGGAAUUAGUUAAGAAUUAAUUCCUUUAAAAAAUUAGCUUGGAGGCAAAACUAAAUUCUUCAAGAUACCUAAGUUUUGGAGAUGAAACUAGAUAUUUCAAAAACAAAUUCUCCAAUCAAAUAAAUCUGAUCAUACCUUUUUCUUUCAAUGUUAUUAAUAAAUACGAAGGAUAUAUGCCAAACUCACAACCAAGAAAAUGAAUGCUUUAAUUUCUAUGGUUUAAAAGAAAUAUUAGUCACAUAUUGUGACUUAAUGAAGAGAAUAUCAUAAUCUUGUCUUACAGAGACUAUUUUGCACAAUCAAAACUCAUAUUAUAUUUUACCACAUAUUACAAUUUCCCCUAAUAAUUCAAGUACAUAAAAGAUCAAACAUCAUGACAGCAGGACAAAUACGUAUAGUUCAAUAAUUCUAUUGGCCAGUACCUAUGUGAAAGCUAGAAGCCUAGAAUCUAUAGAUUGAAUCUAAACGAGACACAAAAAUACAUUCAGAGAGAGUGAGUAGAUUGAAUAAUAUAACUCUCCACCCUAACUUACUUAUAGAAAAGAAAGAAAAUAAAAUAAUACACAGAUAAAAAAAGGAUGGAAAUACGAAAAGCAUGCCCAUACAGAGGAAAAAGGUAAAAGAACACAAACCACACUUUAAUUGAGCUAAAACAAGAUGAAAUGUAAGACAACAUUGAGGUGAAGUAAGGCUGGUAAGAUAGGCCAAUAACCCUCAAUAAAACAAAUUAUAGGCUAGAAAUUCUGCCAAAUUACUCAAAAUGCAAGGCAGAUUUUGAGGAGUACUAGUAAACAAGGCCUUACCGUUACAUGUUCUUUAUUCAUUGUUUUCCAUAACAUCCUUUUCAAAUGCAUCUCCUUUUUGUUGUUAAGAUAUCCAACAAUCUGAAAAGCAUAAAAAUUUGCUCAAAUGAAUCUCCAACUCAGGGCUCUAGUUAUAAAUGCUUGAUUCCCAUUCAUAUUCUGAACUAUGCAUCCUUUUCAUUUUCACAAGAUGUAAUUCUUACUGACUUAUCAGCUGUGAAAAUGUUAGAUAUUAUCAACGACCAAAAAGAUUUCAUUAACAGAGUUCAGCAAGGUAAAGGACAAAAGAAGAAGCAUUAGAAAUUUCCAGGGUGCAUAGAAGUUUUGAUUAUUCAAACAAAAGUAAAGGUAUUCUCAUGUAAAGCAUGAAAGUGAACUUACCUCUAUAAGAAAAACAGUUGCAAGAACCAUUGCCAGACUUUAAACAAAUAAUGCAUGUGAAAAAACAAAGCAUAUACCUCAGAAUCAUCAAUAUUGGAAAGACUUUCUGCCCCGUCAGAUUUUGUUCUACUUCUUUUCUUGUACCUUUGUCUUUUACUAGAAGAAUCCUUACUGAAGUCCUGAUGAACGGCUGAAGCAUCUGAGACAUAAAGAAAUUACAUAAACUAAAACUUCUGUAGCAACCCAUUGUCUUAGCCCAAAAGAUUCUGCUCAAGAAAUUUCAUACACAAAACUUGUGAGAACAACAUUAAAGAUUAACGCCAGAUGCUCUUAGUUGCAAAUUCCAGGUUGGGUAGCAACUGCACCUCUGCGGGAAGUCCCAACUUCAACUGUUUACAAAAUAGAUAAAAUAAUUAAGAAAUGUGAGAUUUACAAUAACUGGGUUCUAUUUUAUAUGACUUCUAGUUGAAUGAAAUUUUUAUCGGCAUGAUCUUACAGUUUGAUAUAAGAAUAAAGUUCCCCACAAACCAACACUCUGCUGGUGAAGGAACCUGCUCUUGAUAUCAUUUUUGAAAAGGAAGUUUCCAUCUUUUAUUGAAAAAAUAAUAAUAAUAAAAAGGAGAGAAAAAAUUAAAAAUAUUGAAAACGCCAAUGUGGCCAAGCAAAUAAAUAAAUCAGGCAUUUUGCUAACCAAUUUGGACAAAAAGGCUUAAAAAGGAUAAAUGAUUGCCUAUAUACUAUGAAAUAAUAAUAUCAAUGCGUAGAAUACGCUGCAACAAGGGAAUGAGUCUAGGCGUUUCAAUACUAUCAAAUGACCAUAUGUUUCUAAUUGAAUAAUCAACAUGUAUAAAAUCAUCCAAUCUUAGCAAUACCGAACAAUUUCAUACGCUAAAAAUUCAUGGAAAUAUACGAAUUAAAGGAAAAAAGGAGAAAGAAAGAAAUUACGUGUACCGGUGGUUCCACAGGGUUUUUGGAACUCUGUGUAAUCUCCAUUGUAACGGAUAAAUUCCACUGAAGCUUCAAGAAAAUACGCGCAGAUUUACGAUAGUUUUGGAGGUGAAGGAGAAGGAAAAAGCCUUGAUAGGAUUAUAAAGGUUUGCGUUCGACUUCAAAUUGACCAAAGUACCCUUGACCUUGAUUUUCUUGGAUCGAAGAUUCUUUUAAAAUCUUCUACAGGAGGUUUUCCUUGAAAAUUACUUUUCUAAUCCUUAUCUUGAGGAUUUUGCAAACAGUAAUUAGUCUGGAUGAUUUUAGAGGGUAUUUUAGGUAAUAAAGAGAUAUUCAAAAUCGAAUUUAUUUUGUAUAUAAAAAUAAAAAUAACAAGAAGGAAAACGAAAAGAGAAAUAUUUAAUUGAUAAAGCCAGAACAAUCAUAGUGGGAAAUAGAUCAAUUGUGCAGAGGUUGCAAGCAAUAAUGGGCAUUCUUGUCACCAGUAAGGGUGAUAAUCUUGUUUGUGUGAGCUUCAAUCAAAUAACAUGUCAUCUCAGUAUUAUGUAAUAAAACUAGUUCAAUGCUUGUGCAAUGCACGAGUGGCGUGUUUUUUUAAGG